GGGGGCGCACUGGCUUCGACGGGUAGCAAGCAAGGCCGGAGUGGCGUGCCGGAUCCAUCCGCAAAUGGAAACAACACAACUGCCAACGAUAACCUGGCAUACGCGGCGGCCUAACCACCCCGCGCGUUUCGUAGACGGACUCUGAUUCGCAGGCCCCUACGAAGCGACGAUUAAGCGAAUCGAACGGUACGGCGGGGCUUCGAGCCGUACCCGGAUCACACCGAAGCUAGCUACGACGCCGGGCAGCGGUCUGACCAAGCAGCGUAGCGAAUCCUAGACAGGCCGCUACGCACGUAGAAGCUUCGGUAUUGAGCUACUCGGACGUGGGUUCAAUUCCCACCGCCUCCACCA
rnacentral:tmRNA from 1 species